AGAGUUUGAUCAUGGCUCAGAAUCAACGCUGGCGGCGUGCCUAACACAUGCAAGUCGAACGCGAAAACCCUUUCGGGGGCAAGUAGAGUGGCGUCCGGGUGAGUAACACGUAGGUAAUCUACCUUUCGGGUGGGGAAUAACUCGCCGAAAGGCGAGCUAAUACCGCAUAAUGCAGCGGCACCUAAUGGUGAUUAGUUGUUAAAGCGGGGGAUCGCAAGACCUCGCGCCUGAAGAGGAGCCUGCGGCAGAUUAGCUAGUUGGUGAGGUAAUGGCUCACCAAGGCUUCGAUCUGUAGCUGGUCUGAGAGGACGGCCAGCCACACUGGCACUGACACACGGGCCAGACUCCUACGGGAGGCAGCAGUGGGGAAUUUUGGGCAAUGGGCGCAAGCCUGACCCAGCAACGCCGCGUGAGGGAGGAAAUCCUUCGGGAUGUAAACCUCACAAGCAAGGGAAGAGAGUUCAGGUCCAAAUAAGGCCUGAGUCCGACGGUACCUUGCGUAAGCCACGGCUAACUACGUGCCAGCAGCCGCGGUAAUACGUAGGUGGCAAGCGUUGUUCGGAAUUAUUGGGCGUAAAGGGCGCGUAGGCGGCUUGCUAAGUCGGUUGUGAAAGCCCGGGGCUCAACCCCGGAGAGUCGACCGAUACUGGCGAGCUAGAGUACGGAAGAGGUAGCUGGAAUUCCCGGUGUAGCGGUGAAAUGCGUAGAUAUCGGGAGGAACACCUGAGGCGAAGGCGGGCUACUGGGCCGAUACUGACGCUGAGGCGCGAAAGCCAGGGGAGCAAACGGGAUUAGAUACCCCGGUAGUCCUGGCCCUAAACGAUGGACACUUGGUGUGUCGGGUAUUCCAGUCCCGGCGUGCCGGAGUUAACGCGUUAAGUGUCCCGCCUGGGGAGUACGGUCGCAAGGCUGAAACUCAAAUGAAUUGACGG
rnacentral:rRNA from 1 species